AACAGACCAAGAUGUCGGAGUUUGGAGCAGAGAAAGGCUGCCUGGCAGUACUCUUCAUUCCAGGGGGAAAAGGGAAGUAAGCAGUUACAGGGGAAACUGACUUUGGGUUGGCUCAUUGGUUACCAGGGAAACUAGCAAAGAGGCAUGCCCCUCACUGCCCCUUUGUUAAGCUAUCAAGGUAGAGAUGUUCUGAUCUCAACGUAAGAAGUCACUGGCUGCGGCCAGGACAAGUAUGUAGAACAGUCGGUUGCAAGUAGAGUGUAGGUGAAGCAGGCACCGACUGACAGAUGAUAAUGUAUAGAGAGAAGAGAACAGCCAUCUCAGGUGACCUGAUCAUACACAUGCGAACUCUCCAAGUUCUACCAGCCGGACAGUGAAGACACAACAGCAAAUCAUCAGAGAGACUUGGCAUUUUAGAUAUAAUUCAGAUAUUUUGGAAACUUGAGACACACGUUUUUGAAAGUAUCUAAGGAAUAGAAAUGGUGAUGGGAUAAUGAUAUUAGAGAUCAAUAGGAAUGAAAUUAUUACAUAAACUGAUGCACAAAAUAAGUUGAAUAACUCUGAGACUAGCAUAACAGGAAUUCCAGCCUGUGGUGUAUGUGUAUGAGCUGUAAAAAUGCGAAUCUUCCUGUAAUCCAAGAAGUAUCAGUGGUGGUGAUAUAAGUAUAAAAGUGUCCCACUUGCCUUCUUUCAGAUUAAAAAUUUUAAAGUUCACUCCCAGGUAAAAUCCAGGGGGAAAAGUCAUCUAAGUUUACCAUUCAAUUGUUCACCAAAAAUAGAGGCGCGUCUUAGCUUUUCUCUUCAAUUGAAGUCAAGGUGCUGUGUACAUGCUGUGUGAAAUUAGUAUGUGGAGUUCAAUGUCGCUUUUCUUGUUUUGGUUGCACUGGGUCUUCGUUGCUGCGCGCCAGCUUUUUCUCGAUGUGACUAGCAGGGCCUACUCUUGUUGUGGGGCACAGGCUUCUCUUGUGGCAGAGCACGGGCUUUAAGCAAGCAGGUUUCAGAAGUUGUGGUGCUUGACUCUUGGGUUCAUGGGCUUCAGUAGCUGCAGCACACAGGCUCAGAAAUUGUGGUGCAGGGGCUUACCUGCUCCCAGGCAUGUGGGAUCUUCCUCACAAGGGAUUGAGCCCCUGUCUCCUGCGUUGUCAGGCAGAUUCUUAACCACUGCACCACCAGGGAAGUUCCCAAUGUUGCUUUUCUUGCUCAGUGAUUUUAAUGAAAUUCAGUAGUCUUGCAUGAUUUGUUUUUUCUUUUUUCUAAACUGCAUUCCCGUGCCUACUGAAGGCAUGCCUCUAGUAUUGGCUAUUAUGGUAUUUCAAAAAGUGUUUGAGACAUGUCUUUAUGUACAACCCAAAAUAUUGAUGUUUUGAACAGCUAUCAACUGCUGCAUUCCUUAAUUCUUUCUGCUAUUUGUCACAAUUGUUAUUUAAAGAACCAAAUAAGUAUUGCAUGAAGAUGUGCCCUUUUUCUCUUAGUUUAAAUAAACACCAAGGUACCUGG
ensembl:lncRNA